GGUGGGGGUGGUGGUGGCCCCCCUGCAGGCGCAGGUGGUAUCAAAGGUUAUGGCAGAGGUUUUGGUCGUGCCACGGCUUCCGCAGAGAACGAUGACAAGGAAGAUGAGGACGGCGACAUGGGCUUCUAAGCUAGAACAGCACAGAAACACAAUGGAAAGGAGAGGAAGAGCAACAUUACUACAAGCUAUGGUGUUCCACCUAUUCACAAGCUUCCCACACCACUUGAUCGAUCCCUCGAGUUACGCAGUUAACAAUAAGAUUUGGUUAAGCUCUUACGGACGUAUGCAAUGCCUUAUGUCAAUAAAGAGCGAAAUCCAUCGAA
rnacentral:lncRNA from 1 species